GGGAGAAGUGAUGAUUUGUACCCAUCUAUUCUGUAAAAAGAAUGAUGAUUUUUAUACAUGCACUACCAUCUGAUCUCUC
rfam:Macleaya cordata isolate BLH2017 scaffold1707, whole genome shotgun sequence.